rnacentral:lncRNA from 1 species
GGGGCCUGCGGGCCUCUCAGCCCUGCGUCUGCUCGCUGCCUCCCCCGCGGUACUCUGCGCUCCGGCUGGGCUGCGAGGUCUGAGCCCACCGAAGCCCGGUCCCGCUGGGUCUGGAGGAGCGGAGCGAACGGAGGCCGUCGCCCUGGGCCCGCGCCUCCUCGCGGCACCGCCGGCCCCGGUCUCGCCUGGCCCCAAGCUGAGCUCCGGCGGACGCAGAGGCUGCAGCACUGACCUAGGGCCCGGGGACCGACGACCGCAGAGGGGACUGCCGCCUGAGGCUGCGGGGGCAGAGAGCCUUCCCGAGCGGAGGCCCGCCGCCCGCCUUCCCCCAGCUCUGCGCGAGCGCUCCUGACUCGGCCUCCUGCGCCCUCUGCGCGGCCGGGCGUGGGGGACACGGCGCGGUACGCCGCCGCACCGUGCAGUCAGCUGAGGCCGGGCUGCAAGGAGCCCGGUGAACAAGCCAGACGCAAGCGUGGCGCGGAGCAAGAAGGCAGACGCAGGAAGCCGGAGAGGGGUCUUUCUCAGUGGGACCGCGAUGUGGGGGGAGAGAGCGGCCGGAAAACGGGGCCAGCUGUGCGAUGCGCAUGCGCCAGCCCCACGCGAGGCGCGUGAACACCGCGUGCUGCAGACUGCUGACGCCAGCGUGGAAACAGGCGAGACGAGGCAGGGGUCUGCCUCCGCGGCGGGAGGUCCUGCGGGAGCGGAGGGCCCGAGGCCGCGUGAACUUCACUCUCCCCAGGCUGAACAGGGUGUUUUUAAAGAAAAAUCCUUCGUUCAGACGUCUUCAAAAUACGCCGUUCAGAAGCCCGCACGUUCUCCUAGUCGCCCAAGAAGCGGCGCGGCGCGGUAGAGAGGGUCCGCGAGGCUUGGAUCCAGCCCGCCCUUCGCACCGUCGCUGUCCAGCCCGCGCUGAAGCUGUGAGUGGCCGUGGUUCCCUUCCGUCCUGCCUGCACCAGCCUAUGAGCAAAGCCCGUGUUUCAGCUCUAGCGCUUCCCUACAUCAUCCGUCGUCACUGCUUCUACCUUAACCUCAGCCGCAGUCAUCUGUUGCCUAAAUGGUCUUCUCGCCAGCUUUGGUUCGCUCUUGUGGCUGUACUGGUCUUAAAAAGAAAUCAGACCACAGAAGUCCCUGGCUCACAGCCUUCAAAGGGGCCUGUGACAGUGAAAACAUGCUGGAGAUCUUCACCGUGCUCACAGGGCCCCCUCAGGCUGGUUCUCCUGCUCCUCUGCCUUCCUGCUUGCUCCCUCGUCCAGUUCUCUAACCUGCAAACUCCUGGCUGUGCAGGCCUGGCAUCUGCCCCCUGUUCCUCCCCCGGGCGUGCAGUGACAUCCUGCUUUUGUCAUAUCUCAACUUUAAACAGAGAGGGGCCUUUUCUGAUGAUCCAAUAA